UGUGCAGUUCUCCAGUUGUAUAGUACCAAUGAAGGUAUUCUUUUAAAGCAUAUCGAGUUUCUUUCAUUAUUUAUCCUAUACUUCGAGCCGAUUCCACGAAAUAUCUUAUUUCAGGGUUUCUUUAUUGUCAUGCCAUGUAAAAUCUUUGGUACACUUUCUCUCUCAUUUCAUCCUUUAUGUGUAUGUUUCUUUUCCAGUUUAUGUUUCUAACGACGCAUACACAUCAACAUUGACAAGAGUGGAAUUUUGUUAGAAAAACAGUCUUUCCCUUCUCGACAGUCCAGAUCUCAUCUCUACAUCUAUUGCGUCUACUGGAAACUCAUUGACGAGAUCGACGAUUGGCAACAUUCGAAGAAGCAUCGGAAGCUGCGCAAAUAAGCAAAAACAGUCUUCACCGAUGGAUCAAGCUAUUUGUGGCCCGUUAGAAGAGGUGCAUUGAAAAGCAAGAAAAUUAUGCCGAUAAAUACCAUUCGAUUCUUUGUAAUAAAUUAUAGAAACAAGAUUUUAUUUAGAAGUUGAUAAA